rnacentral:lncRNA from 1 species
AGUCCGCCAUGAAGUUUAAUAUGAACAAGGCGGGACCGCUUUUGGCAUGGGUAAGAGUGUCAUUCAAUUUUAUUGUUUAUUCAAAGAACUGACACAUAUAUGAGAUUACAAGUCUCAGUUAUUCUAGUCUGUUGACAUGUUCAAGUGUUUUAACAUCAGUUUUAUAGUAUAAAACACUUAAUGAUGGUGACUGUUUUCCUUUUGACAGAUAAACACCGUGUUUCCAGAGAAGCACCUCUCGGAGUUCGUUCCCAUGAGAGAUGGGUUUGCACUCCUGAAGAUCUGCUUCAAACUGUGAGUCUUCACUUUGAGACUCUUGGUCGGUAAAUAUGGAAAUGCCUUGAUAACUAGCACCGACUUUAUUUAUUUGACAAAUGCAUUAUCUGUUACUUUAGAAGGGGGAUGGAGAACACUGAGGAUUUUAAGACUUUAUCCCUCUGUAAGAAAGUGGAAAUCAUCUUCAAUGUUUUGCGGGAUGACUUUCAGCUCACCAAAAGACAAAGUUCCCUCAUCUUACAGAAGAUCAGUGCAGGGACUGACCUGGAGCUUCAGCUGGCCAAGGUGGCGCUUCUGCUUUGUUACUGCACUUUUAAAAAGGGCAUCCUGCUCCACAUGGAUUCGAAUAUAGAGGUGAGUGUUUACUAAUCACCGGUCUGUCACUUAUUAAAUGCGUAUAUAUUGCUGCUACAACAAAUAUUACAUUUUGAAAUUGUCAUUCUCUAAUGUGUCUCUCUUUCUCUGUCCGUGUCAGUCGGAAAUUACAUCCAUGUUUCGUUUUGUAAAAGAUGAUGCUGAUGGUCUGUCGUUGGACGAAGGCCUAGAUCAGUUUCUAGACCAAAACUGUAAGUAGCC